UUGGGGUUCUAUUGUACUCUGAAAUUAAUUUUUGGGAUAUUCUAGAUUUCUAGUACAUCAGCUCCGUUUACAAGUAACCAGAUAUAAAAAUUAAAAAGUAAGAAAAAGGUUCAAAACAAGAUCAGCCGCAGCACUUAUUAUUUCUAUAUAUUAUACAGCCUAUAAAUGUAGUUGUGUGCAUAUAGAUGAUAUAUUUAUGCUACAAAGAUGACCACGGAUUACUUUAAAGCAAUAUAAAAUCACAGCAUUAAGGGUUAUUUAAACAUGAGGAUUGCAUUAUUUUUCUGCUUUUCGCCAUGCGCAAAAAGAAACUCACGUGGUUUCCCACCUUUGUGCCUGUUUAACCUGAUUAUACUACAUUUUAAAUUUUAUAAGUUUCCGUGAUUAGUUUGUUUAUAUUACUAUCUGCCCCUUUAUAUUAUUUGCAAAAAGCAAUUGCUUAACUUUUUUUUGUAAAGGGAGUAGUUCAAAGAAAGCAACACCAAGAAAGAAAGAUGAAUUGCGGAACAAAUUUGUUUAGUGUGUUUUUAUAUUGGGAUUAUAUAUCUUUUCGAUUCAAUGA
rnacentral:lncRNA from 1 species